GAUGAAGAACGCAGCGAAAUGCGAUAAGUAAUGCGAAUUGCAGAAUUCAGUGAAUCAUCGAAUCUUUGAACGCACAUUGCGCACGCUAGUAUUCUGGCGGGCAUGCCUGUCUGAGCGUCAUUUCAACCCUCGCCCCCGGCUUUUGCUGGGAGCGGUGUUGGGGAUCGGCCGCCCGUCACUGGGAGGCCGGCCCCGAAAUAGAGUGGCGACCACGCCGUGUGCUCCUCUGCGUAGUAGUAAAUCACCUCGCAGGCGGACAGCGGUGCGGCCUGCCGUAAAACCCCCAACUCUUUCUGGUUGACCUCAGAUCAGGUAGGAAUACCCGCUGAACUUAAGCAUAUAAUAAGCGGAGGA
rnacentral:misc_RNA from 1 species